rnacentral:misc_RNA from 1 species
GGCAUCAAAGAGCGUCUUGAUAGAGUUGGAUUGGAGGUGCCAAAGAUCGAAGUAAGGUUUGAGGAAUUGAAUAUAGAGGCGGAUGUGAGAACUGGCUCAAGAGCUUUGCCUAGCUUGAUUAAUGUCGUACGAGACACCGUUGAGGAUAUACUGACCACUUUGAGAGUAUUUCGACCUAAGAAACAUUCUUUAACCAUUUUGAACUACGU